GAAGGUAUAGCUCAGUGGUAGAGUGCAUGCUUAGCAUGCAAGAGGUCCUGGGUUCAAUCCCCAGUACCUCCA
rnacentral:tRNA from 1 species